UUAAGCAUAUCAAUAAGCGGAGGAAAAGAAACUAACAAGGAUUCCCCUAGUAACUGCGAGUGAAGCGGGAAGAGCUCAAAUUUAAAAUCUGGCGUGCCUCUGGUCGUCCGAGUUGUAGUCUGGAGAAGCGUUUUCCGUGUUGGACCGUGUAUAAGUCUCUUGGAACAGGGCGUCAUAGAGGGUGAGAAUCCCGUCUUUGACACGGACUACCAAUGCUUUGUGAUGCGCUCUCAAAGAGUCGAGUUGUUUGGGAAUGCAGCUCAAAAUGGGUGGUAAAUUCCAUCUAAAGCUAAAUAUAGGCGAGAGACCGAUAGCGAACAAGUACCGUGAGGGAAAGAUGAAAAGCACUUUGGAAAGAGAGUUAAACAGUACGUGAAAUUGCUGAAAGGGAAACGCUUGAAGUCAGUCAUGUCUGCCAGGACUCAGCCUUGCUUCUGCUUGGUGCACUUUCUGGUUUGAUGGGCCAACAUCAAUUUUGACCGUUGGAGAAAGGCUUUGGGAAUGUGGCACCUUUGGGUGUGUUAUAGCCCUUUGUCGUAUACAACGGUUGGGAUUGAGGACCGCAGCACGCCUUUAUGGCCGGGGUUCGCCCACGUACGUGCUUAGGAUGUUGGCAUAAUGGCUUUAAGCGACCC
rnacentral:rRNA from 1 species